GGCUGUGAAUCGGCUUAAUCUCAGCUGGCAACUGUGAGAUGCUAACCAAUUCUCCCACAGUGGCAUCUGGGAUUAUGCUAAACACAGCA
rnacentral:pre_miRNA from 13 species